rnacentral:rRNA from 1 species
AUUGAACGCUGGCGGCAGGCUUAACACAUGCAAGUCGAACGGUAACAUAGAGACGCUUGCUUCUUUGAUGACGAGUGGCGGACGGGUGAGUAAUGCUUGGGAAUCUGGCUUAUGGAGGGGGAUAACUACGGGAAACUGUAGCUAAUACCGCGUAAUAUCGAAAGAUUAAAGUGUGGGACCUUCGGGCCACAUGCCAUAGGAUGAGCCCAAGUGGGAUUAGGUAGUUGGUGAGGUAAAGGCUCACCAAGCCGACGAUCUCUAGCUGGUCUGAGAGGAUGACCAGCCACACUGGGACUGAGACACGGCCCAGACUCCUACGGGAGGCAGCAGUGGGGAAUAUUGCGCAAUGGGGGCAACCCUGACGCAGCCAUGCCGCGUGAAUGAAGAAGGCCUUCGGGUUGUAAAGUUCUUUCGGUAGCGAGGAAGGUGGUUAGUUUAAUAGGCUAGCCAAUUGACGUUAACUACAGAAGAAGCACCGGCUAACUCCGUG